CAGAGACUGCGAGCGUUAUUCGGAUUCACUGGGCGUAAAGGGUGCGCAGGCGGCCAAGUGUGUUAGGCGUGAAAGCCUGGGGCUUAACCUCAGAAUUGCACCUAAAACUACAUGGCUAGAGCAUUGGAGAGGGUAGCGGAAUUCACGGUGUAGCAGUGAAAUGCGUAGAUAUCGUGAGGAACACCAGAGGCGAAGGCGGCUACCUGGACAAUUGCUGACGCUCAGGCACGAAAGCGUGGGGAGCAAAAGGGAUUAGAUACCCCUGUAGUCCACGCCCUAAACGGUGCACACUAGGUCUUGGCGGAUUCGACCCCACCAGGGCCCAAGCUAACGCGUUAAGUGUGCCGCCUGAGGACUACGGUCGCAAGACUU
rnacentral:rRNA from 1 species